AGGGUGUGAACGCUGCAGACUUGGUGUUGGAAGCCCUUUGGGGGCAUUCAGUGCCGGAGAGAAGUUGUUAAGUCUGCUACUUGGGGAGUACGUCCGCAAGGAUGAAACUUAAAGGAAUUGGCGGGGGAGCACCGCAACGGGAGGAGCGUGCGGUUUAAUUGGAUUCAACACCGUAAAACUCACCAGGGAAGACUGUUACAUGAAGGCCGAGAUGAAGACUCUGCUAGAUUUUCAGAGAGGUGGUGCAUGGCGUCAGUGACU
rnacentral:rRNA from 1 species